GUCAUAAACAGCUACUCAAGAUAGGUCAUACUUGAAGUAUGUCAUAAACAGCUACUCAAGAUAGGUCAUACUCGAGAUAUGUCAUAAACAGCUACUAAAGAUAGGUCAUAAUCGAGAUAUGUCAUAAAACAGCUACUCAAGGUAGAUCAUACUCGAGUUAUGUCAUAAACAGCUACUCAAGGUAGAUCAUACUCAAGGUAGGUCAUACUAGAGAUAUGUCAUAAACAACUACUAAAUGUAGGUCAUACUCGAGAUAUGUCAUAAACAGACACUCAAGGUAGGUCAUCCUCGAGGUAUGUCAUAAACAGCUACUCAAGGUAGGUCAUUCUCGAGGUAUGUCAUAAACAGCUACUCAAGGUAGGUCAUACUCGAGAUAUGUCAUAAACAGCUACUCAAGGUAGGUCAUCCUCAAGGGAUGUGAUGAGCUGAGCCCAGGGUACUGUAAAUUGUCGACAUAAUGAGUUGAUGAACUUUCAAUUUUAAUUAGUAAAGUGAUUACAUGAAUUGAAUUCUGUUCCAGGUGGAUUUCUGUAACAAGGCCCAAUGGGCCUGUAUCGCUCACCUGGCUCUACAGCAACUUUGAAGUUGAUCUAAGUCAUUCCUGCAGAUACUAUUCUGAUUACCAUUUUAUUCAAAUAGUUGAGUAGAUUAGGUUUAUUCAAGUCAAUAAAUUUUCUAGUCCUUCAUUCCAGCAUAUCAUUGGCCUAACAUCAGGUCAUGGAGUCUCUUGACUAUUGAGAAAUCAUUGUUUAAAGAUUUAAGCCUAUCUGACCCCUGUGACCUUUAAUGCAGGUCAAGGUCAUUCAUUUGAACAAACUUGGUAAUACUUCACCCCAGCAAAGGUGAAGUCCCUGGGCUGUUAAGUUGUUAAAAGGAAAAAGUUGACGCUGAAGGGAUGGACGGCCGGAUGGACAGCCGGAUGGACGGCCGGCUGGCCAGAUGACGGACGCUGCACCACAGCAUAAGUGGCCCAUCGGGCAGGUGAGCUAAAAAGUGAUGUCGCCUGAUAAUUCUACAACUGCAAUAGCUUUGUGUUUAUUGCUCUGUAUUGAUGAUACCAUUUAAAUUUAAUAAUGAUCCCUAACAUAUGUCUACCAUGUGAUUUGCCACCAUGGUAACCAUUUAUGUCUAGUACACAGUGUAUAUCUAGGAUACACACAUCCAGUUUCAUUAUUUAGGGUUGACAGCAUUGAACAGCAUCUUGUGAUCAUUGUAACUUGAAUCCUCAUCAACUUCAUCAUUUGAAUUAUCAUACAAUAUAUGAAUUUUUUUAAGAUACAUACAACAUAUUAACAAGAUAGUGUAAGUACUCAUAUGUGCAGUACACAGGUAACCAGGUGUGUCUAGUACUCGGGUAACCAGGUGUGUCUAGUACACAGGUAACCAGGUGUGUCUAGUACUCAGGUAACCAGGUGUGUCUAGUACUCAGAUAACCAGGUGUGUCUAGUACACAGGUAACCACGUGUGUCUAGUACACAGAUAACCAGGUGUGUCUAGUACACGGGUAACCAGGUGUGUCUAGUACUCGGGUAACCAGGUGUGUCUAGUACACAGGUAACCAGGUGUGUCUAGUACUCGGGUAACCAGGUGUGUCUAGUACUCGGGUAACCAGGUGUGUCUAGUACUCGGGUAACCAGGUGUGUCUAGUACUCGGGUAACCAGGUGUGUCUAGUACACAGGUAACCAGGUGUGUCUAGUACACAGGUAACCAGGUGUGUCUAGUACACAGUUAAUCCCAGCUAAAGCUUCAUGUAAAAUGUAACAAGCAAAUGAUAAUGUGUGUAAUUUGUCAAUGAUGAGAUCACUUAUUAAAGGAAUCAAAAAGUCGGUGACACCAGGGCUGGAACUGAGAGUUAUCUCCCCUUACCAACAACAGGACUAGUGGGAAUGGAUUUCAUAUCAAUGCUGCUUCAAACAAAUCAUUAUAGAUUCCUUAAUAUGUAGUAAAUGUAGAUUUCCAUGUUAAUGACAAUACAAAAUAGAGAUGAUGUGUUAUGUAUAAUUGUUUUGUGAUCAAUUGUUCACAUACUGCCAAACUCCAAUUACAUAAUCUUAAACUCCAGCAGUGUGUACUUAUGUGAUGUUAAACUCCAGCAGUUUGAACUGUAUACUGAUGAAGAUCCCUUGUAGGUAAUUGGCACAUGAGUUUAUGUGUAAAUCUUGUCAAAGUUGAUGGAUUUUUUAAGCUUGGAACCAUACAAACAACAUAACAUGGAAUAAAAUGUUGGUCAGCUAAAAUCAAUCCAAAACACUUUUCUUCGGAACUCUCUUGUAAAAAUAUAAUGUUUGUGGAAAUUAGAUUUCUUCUGAAAAUAUUUCUUCCUACCUGAAUACCUAAACUAAUAUAUACACAUUGUCUAGAACUCAAAAGAGAAUCCAGCUGCUACCAGUACCUCCAGAGUAGAUAUAUCUGUACAGUACGUCCAGAGUAGAUAUAUCUGUACAGUACGUCCAGAGUAGAUAUAUCUGUACAGUACGUCCAGAGUAGAUAUAUCUGUACAGUACCUCCAGAGUAGAUAUAUCUGUACAGUACGUCCAGAGUAGAUAUAUCUGUACAGUACG